AUGGAAAAAAACAAGCCAUGAAGCCACAAAUGAUCAAUUCAGCCAUCAUUGCCACUACGUUGGUUAGCAACAAGCCAACUUUACAUAACGUUAUAUAAAUAUUUUUAGUGCCCCUGCAUUCUUACAAGACCGAGGGGCAAAGGAACAGGGUGCAGGGUGUGUAUAGCACUGUCUCCGGUGCCUGCAGAACAGAAAUCAACACAACCACAGUAUCCUUCACUUCAAUGGUGAGACAAAACCGUAUGGUUAAAUCGGGACUUUGGGAGCCAGAGUAGGAACAUCUGAAAACAUCAUAAUGUCUUAUGACCGGAUUCUUUCCAUCGAAAAUUUGAGUGAUGUUCCAAAUCCAUGGAAGGGAUUCACUAUGAACCGCUGCUUGGUGCUGGCACUGGUCGUACUGCUUGUGAGCUCAGGGGUCAAUGAACUGCAUGAUGCUAUGGAUUCUUUUGUUGAGGAGACAGGUAUAAGGUCUUUCUUUGGAAGUCUGCAGGAUGGUUCGAUAACUCAGAUUUCCAUAUGGGACAGUUUCAUGUGGUGGUGGGGAUCUGAAGAACUUGGAGCGAUAAGAAGAAGAAAAAAGCAGAUUGGCAACAAAGCAAUCCUGAAACCCAAAUCUAAAGAAUGAUUUGCAUACAGCUGUUCAGAAAAGUGAAGGUUCAAAAAAUGGAUGUCAUCGACUGUUACAACAGGAUUCUAAAUAAAGAACACAAACAGUUA